UACGGAGGGGGCUAGCGUUGUUCGGAAUUACUGGGCGUAAAGCGCGCGUAGGCGGCUUUGUAAGUUAGAGGUGAAAGCCCGGAGCUCAACUCCGGAACUGCCCUUGAAACUGCAGUGCUAGAAUCUUGGAGAGGCGAGUGGAAUUCCGAGUGUAGAGGUGAAAUUCGUAGAUAUUCGGAAGAACACCAGUGGCGAAGGCGACUCGCUGGACAAGUAUUGACGCUGAGGUGCGAAAGCGUGGGGAGCAAACAGG
rnacentral:rRNA from 1 species